AGAGUUUGAUCCUGGCUCAGAUUGAACGCUGGCGGCAUGCCUUACACAUGCAAGUCGAACGGCAGCGCGGGGGCAACCCUGGUGGCGAGUGGCGAACGGGUGAGUAAUAUAUCGGAACGUACCCAGUAGUGGGGGAUAACUAUCCGAAAGGAUAGCUAAUACCGCAUACGAUCUGUGGAUGAAAGCAGGGGAUCUUCGGACCUUGUGCUAUUGGAAUGGCCGAUAUCUGAUUAGCUAGUUGGUAGGGUAAAAGCCUACCAAGGCGACGAUCAGUAGCUGGUCUGAGAGGACGACCAGCCACACUGGAACUGAGACACGGUCCAGACUCCUACGGGAGGCAGCAGUGGGGAAUUUUGGACAAUGGGGGCAACCCUGAUCCAGCAAUGCCGCGUGAGUGAAGAAGGCCUU
rnacentral:rRNA from 1 species